rnacentral:rRNA from 1 species
AGUGAACGCUGGCGGUAGGCCUAACACAUGCAAGUCGAACGGCAGCACAGUAAGAGCUUGCUCUUACGGGUGGCGAGUGGCGGACGGGUGAGGAAUACAUCGGAAUCUACUUUUUCGUGGGGGAUAACGUAGGGAAACUUACGCUAAUACCGCAUACGACCUACGGUUGAAAGCAGGGGAUCUUCGGACCUUGCGCGAUUGAAUGAGCCGAUGUCGGAUUAGCUAGUUGGCGGGGUAAAGGCCCACCAAGGCGACGAUCCGUAGCUGGUCUGAGAGGAUGAUCAGCCACACUGGAACUGAGACACGGUCCAGACUCCUACGGGAGGCAGCAGUGGGGAAUAUUGGACAAUGGGCGCAAGCCUGAUCCAGCCAUACCGAGUGGGUGGAAAAGGCCUUCGGGUUGUAAAGCCCUUUUGUUGGGAAAGAAAAGCAGCAGGUUAAUACCCCGCUGUUCUGACGGUAACCAAAGAAUAAGCACCGGCUAACUUCGUG